CCUGUAGAAGCAGAAGCUUCCGGUGAAGCGCGGGACAGACCCAGCUGCAAACAGCACCGACCCGGAGCCUCAGGGGUUAUUAAAAAAUCUGCCUUAGACCCUGCAGUGAAGACCAGCAUUUCAAGAAGGAAAUAAAAUUACCUGGAUCAACCAUGCUCAACUGUGACGCCUGUGUAACUGUCCACUUCAUCUUCACUGAACCAGUCACUGUUUGUGAUGGCCGACGGAUUUUUAAUGUGGCUUUCGUCUCAAAAGAUUAUGUUGUGAUUAACAGGCUUCCCUUCCCCCCCCCCCCAAUAAACUCUCAGGCAAGGCUUGUCUUUCAAAACAUUAAAAGAAUAGAUGUACAUGGGUACUUACUGAAAUGGACAGUAAUAAACAAAUACUCUUACAAUGCUACCUGAUUUUUCUGAAAUGUAUUUGCCAAGCCAAAAUUCUAGGAUGUAGAAAUCUGGAAAAUUCAUCUCCUGGGAUUAACUUCUCAAGGGAAUUUUUUUUCUUAAGUUAAUUUGGGAAAUUAGCUGCAUUUCACUUUACUGCAAGUCUUUGCCACGUGUGACUGAAUCAAGUUGUCACUUCCACACUGAAAGCAGCUGGUUCGGGAUUUGUGAGAGUACGUGUGUAUUACACAAGCACAACAGGGUUGGCACUAAAGAACUGUCACGCGUGUAGUAACACUAUUUGGUAGCCUAACUUCGUAUGUGUAUUCUUAAUUGCACAACAAGUCAAUAAUUUGUCACCUUGGGGUUUUGAAUGUUUGCUUUAAGUGUUGGCUAUUUCUAUGUUUUAUAAACCAAAACAAUUUCCAAAAACAAUGAAGGAAACCAAAAUAAAUAUUUCUGCAUUUCAA